GGACAGGCACAUACAGAAUGUGGCAGGGAUAAACUAGAUUGAACUUUAUUAAAAAAUUACCCAUUAUCAAACUAAAAAUGCCUAUUACUAAGUGAACUCAGAUUACUCUGCUGUUUACAUAUUUGUUAAACUAUAAUUUGCUUCUUGUAGAAAUUAGCCUGUGAGAUCAAGAUGCAGAUAUAUCCACCAGAUACCAAAUGCCACACCAAAGCAGACAUUUUCAAAUGUUGAGAGACCUAUGAAUACAUCUACAUCCUUCUUCGGACUUUGAAACAACUGAUUGAGUAUGUUAGCUAACAUUUAAUCAAUUAUGUUUGAACAGUGCUACACAACAGCCUGGGUGGAUUUUGCUUUUUCCACCGGCCCACUCCAACUUUAAUCUCUUUUUUGUUAAAAUAUUGAUAUCUAAUGCUUAUCUGCUUUUUUUCAAUUGAUUGUACUUGCAAGUCUUUUGAUUAAACAAAAGAAAUUGCAUGCCCACUCCUAUGGGUGGGCAGAGUUGACAAGCUAGAAAGUUUGCCCACUCCCACUGUGGACGGGUGGAGCCAACGCAAAAUCCACCUGAGCUGUAGUGUAUAUUUGAAAGUCAAUGACUUCUAUUAAAAAAAAGAAAAAAGAAAUCUAGAACUUUACAAUCUUUUUUUUAAUAUGCCCCUAUUUAUAUACAAAAGAAGAUGUCAUAUGAUUGCCAAAGAUACAACUCUCCACAAGAAACCAAGUGACACAGAAAUUAACAGCUACAGGUCAUUGUAAGGCCUUCAACAAUGAGCAAAGCCCAUACCGCAUAUUCAGCUAUAAAAGGCACUGAAAUGACAAAUGAAAUAUUAUGCAUGGUGGGGGUGAAAUAAAAAGUGUCUUCUGACCCCUGAUCCCCCUACAUUUAUUUCUGGAACAUCCCUCAGUGUUGCAACACAUAAACACAUUUGGUAGUCAGAUUGCUUUCAACCAUAUACUAUAGUGAUAGUUUUCUUCUUCAGAAUGCUAAAUUUAAAAGUUUUAAUUAAUUUGUGAUGAAUUUUCUUUUUUACUUCCAGUUAGGCAAGAUGUUAUCUCUCAUAUCAAAGAGAUGGAAUAUGAAACUGGCAGCCAGUAUUGAUAUAAUGUGGUACUAAAAGCUCCAAUACCAUCAGGGGCUGAAGACAUAACAGGAAUUGUGUGGGAUUUGACCAACCUUAGACUAAAGAGAAAAGUUGUUGCUGCAUUACAGAUAUUUUGAACUCAGCAAUUUUUAUUAAUGUUUUUAAU
rnacentral:lncRNA from 1 species